UACGGAGGGGGGCUAGCGUUGUUCGGAAUUACUGGGCGUAAAACGCACGUAGGCGGCUUUGUAAGUUAGAGGUGAAAGCCCGGGGCUCAACUCCGGAAUUGCCUUUAAGACUGCAUCGCUAGAAUUGUGGAGAGGUAAGUGGAAUUCCGAGUGUAGAGGUGAAAUUCGUAGAUAUUCGGAAGAACACCAGUGGCGAAGGCGACUUACUGGACACAUAUUUGACGCUGAGGUG
rnacentral:rRNA from 1 species